rnacentral:rRNA from 1 species
CCUACGGGAGGCAGCAGUGGGGAAUCUUGCGCAAUGGGCGAAAGCCUGACGCAGCAACGCCGCGUGCGGAUGACGGCCUUCGUGGUUGUAAACCGCUUUCAGCAGGGACGAAAAUGACGGUACCUGCAGAAGAAGCCCCGGCUAACUACGUGCCAGCAGCCGCGGUAAUACGUAGGGGGCCAAGCGUUGUCCGGAUUCAUUGGGCGUAAAGAGCUCGUAGGCCGGUUCAGUAAGUCGGGUGUGAAAGCUCCGAGCUCAACUCGGAGAGGCCACCCGAUACUGCUGUGACUUGAGUCCAGUAGAGGAGCGUUGAACUCCUGGUGUAGCGGUGGAAUGCGCAGAUAUCAGGAAGAACACCUGCAGCGAAGGCGGCCUCUGGGCUGGAACUGACGCUGAGGAGCGAAAGCGUGGGUAGCAAACAGGAUUAGAUACCCUGGUAGUCCACGCCGUAAACGUUGGGCACUAGGUGUGGGGAGCCGUCAACGCUCUCUGUGCCGUAGCUAACGCAUUAAGUGCCCCGCCUGGGGAGUACGGCCGCAAGGCUAAAACUCAAAGGAAUUGACGG